rnacentral:rRNA from 1 species
AAAUUGAAGAGUUUGAUCAUGGCUCAGAUUGAACGCUGGCGGCAGGCCUAACACAUGCAAGUCGAACGGUAACAGGAAGCGCUUGCUGCUUCGCUGACGAGUGGCGGACGGGUGAGUAAUGUCUGGGAAACUGCCUGAUGGAGGGGGGAUAACUACUGGAAACGGUAGCUAAUACCGCAUAACGUCGCAAGACCAAAGAGGGGGACCUUCGGGCCUCUUGCCAUCGGAUGUGCCCAGAUGGGAUUAGCUUGUUGGUGGGGUAACGGCUCACC